rnacentral:rRNA from 1 species
UGGGGAAUAUUGCACAAUGGGCGCAAGCCUGAUGCAGCCAUGCCGCGUGUAUGAAGAAGGCCUUCGGGUUGUAAAGUACUUUCAGCGGGGAGGAAGGUGUUGUGGUUAAUAACCACAGCAAUUGACGUUACCCGCAGAAGAAGCACCGGCUAACUCCGUGCCAGCAGCCGCGGUAAUACGGAGGGUGCAAGCGUUAAUCGGAAUUACUGGGCGUAAAGCGCACGCAGGCGGUCUGUCAAGUCGGAGGUGAAAUCCCCGGGCUCAACCUGGGAACUGCAUCCGAAACUGGCAGGCUUGAGUCUUGUAGAGGGGGGUAGAAUUCCAGGUGUAGCGGUGAAAUGCGUAGAGAUCUGGAGGAAUACCGGUGGCGAAGGCGGCCCCCUGGACAAAGACUGACGCUCAGGUGCGAAAGCGUGGGGAGCAAACA